GACGAACGCUGGCGGCGUGCUUAACACAUGCAAGUCGAACGGUGACGAGGAGCUUGCUCCUCCGAUCAGUGGCGAACGGGUGAGUAACACGUGAGUAACCUGCCCCAGACUCUGGGAUAACAGUUGGAAACAGCUGCUAAUACCGGAUACGAGACGGAGAGGCAUCUCUACCGUCUGGAAAGUUUUUCGGUCUGGGAUGGACUCGCGGCCUAUCAGCUUGUUGGUGAGGUAAUGGCUCACCAAGGCGACGACGGGUAGCCGGCCUGAGAGGGCGACCGGCCACACUGGGACUGAGACACGGCCCAGACUCCUACGGGAGGCAGCAGUGGGGAAUAUUGCACAAUGGGCGAAAGCCUGAUGCAGCGACGCCGCGUGAGGGAUGA
rnacentral:rRNA from 1 species